rnacentral:lncRNA from 1 species
UCUCUUCUCACUUUGCUCUGUGGCAGGAAAUUCUAACCCACUCUAGGACCACAACAGCAGGUAAUGUGUUUUUGCACUGUUAUUCUGAGGCAGAAUGCUGAGGUGUUUUUAGAAUUCUAAAAACUGGCCCUGAAAGUUUGUAUGAAGGUAAAUUUUUUCAAGGCAGGAGGUGGAAAUAACUUUAUUGAAUACUUUGCCAGCUUGAUUUAUAAAUAUUAAGCCUUUAGACAUAUGGCAGGUGAGCCUCUAGUAGUACUCUUGUGCUGAGUCCUGCAAGUGUUACCGGUAAGACUAGAAUGGCCAUAGUAGAUGCUCAAUAAACAUUUGGUGAAUAGAUACUGGCAAUGAUGAACACAAUGACUCCAGACGAAGUGAGAUGACAGAGAGUAGACCAAACUGCCUAGAAUUUCUUUUCUUUUCUUUUUUUUCUUUCUUUUGUCUUUUUAGGGCUACACCUGUGGCAUAUGGAGGGUUCCCAGGCUAGGGAUUGAAUCAGAGUUGUAGCCGUUGGCCUUCAGUACAAGCCAUGUCUAUGACCUACACCACAGGUCACAGUUACGCCAGAUCCUUAAUUCACUGAGCGAGGCCAGGGAUCCAACCCACGUCCUCAUGGAUACGAGUCGGAUUCACUUCCCCACGCCACAUGGGAACUCCCAGAAUUUCUGAGAUAAGCUCGUUUGCUAUACUUUCAAUUCGGUCAGUUAAACAGCAUAAUUGAACCAAAUUCAGUUAUUUGGAAAAGAAUUGGGAAGUCAUGUCCAAGUUGUUCUAUUUAGAAAUAUCUUUUAUUUUAUUUAGAAAUUUAAAUUAAAUAAAAGCAUGAAAAAAUAGCAAAUACGUCCCUUCUCUUUGCUCUAAAAACAGAGGCAUAAGGAUUUAUUUUCAGUUAACCAUUUAUUUUUGGACACUCCUACCAAAGAAGCUUGCUGCCAGAAGCCCCGGUAAAGAAAUCCUUGAUUAGAUCUGGCCUGAAUCACUGACUCAUUGUGUAUGACCUGGGGCAAUUCCUUGACCUCUCUUCACCUCAGAGCUUUGAGCUGGAAACAUAGAUGUAAAGCAAGAAUGUACUAAAAACCAGAUGCUCCAUCUAAGUGAGCUUCCCUGGGUAAAUACAUUUUGCAAGAAAAAGAACAUUCGACUCUUUUCAAAGAAGUAUUUUAAAUUUGGCUUUGAAUUCCUAAACAUGGGCUUUUUAUAAUUUAGGUAAACUUAGUAAAUGCCCAUAUAUCAAUAAAAUAACUUCAGAACUAUAUAUUUACUCCUGGUACCUGAUGAGUACUCUGAAAGGAUUUUCUUGAGGAACUGAAAACCAAAUCUGUAGCUUUUAAAUCUCAGACCAGUUUUUAAAGUUUUUGAAUUUGGAGCCUAUUCUAGAAAUACAGUGCAGGAAGCCUACCAGAACAGGAGAAACUGAACAUCCAAUGACAAAGGAGGAACAAGUUCUCAGGCACUUUCUUUUCCACACCACCAGUAAUUAUGGUUAAUAUUCACUGCACACUUAUCAUGGAUAAUUUUACUAGCAUCCAACAUGAACUUCCAAGAUAAAGUUUUCCUACUAUCUUACUGUGUAAACUGGGAUAGUAGUGGUUUUACUACUAUCCCAGGUUACAUAGAAAAUGAAACUUAGAUAAGGCAAUCUGCCCGAGACCACACAGGUCGUAAUUGUGUGGGUGCCCAAAACAGGUGGUUUGAGUCUAGAGCCCCAACUUGUACACUUUAUAGCGCCUUACUUAUGCUAGCAAUUCCUAGAUUGAUGUGCCAGCUGAUAACUUAUUGGUUAAAUUAACCUUGUUAUGCUCAAGACAAACAUCAUUAUUAAACAGAGAAAUUAUUUGGAAUUCACAAUUUAUUUACAUUUUGCAAGAGUUUUUACUCUUUUGUUUUCCCAGUCGAGACCAAAAAUCUAACUUUAAAGAGCUAUGUGUAAAAAGCCCAAGGAACUGAUGUCUUCGUCUACAACAUCCUUAAAGCAGAAGUUCCCAAGCUUCAUGGAAUUACCUGAGGAAGCUUUCAAGACAGGUAUAUUCCCAACACUCAUCACUAUAAAUUCUGGUGAACUAGAUCUGGGGUUUGGUCUAGGAAUCCAUAUUUUUAAAAGCAGUCAGGUUUUGAGAAGUCUUUAAGUUUUUCAUCUCUGACUCUUGGAGCUACAUGGAUUUUCAUGAUAAACAAAGAGGCAACUUCCCAAAUUGCUUAAUUAGGUGCAAACAAACAACAGGUGCUAUCUGAAAGAGGUGACUCAAUAUCAAAAUAUGUCCUGGUUCUUGACUGAAGCAUAAUAUACAGAUGGCACCAUUGCUUACUAAGUUCUCAAAUCCACGCAGAUCUGCCUUGAACUUUGAAACUUUCAAAUAAUAGAAAGCAAGGCUAAAGGAGAGAACCUUGCUAUAAUCCAGGAGAAUGUAAAUUCCUUUGACUAGUGUGACAAUGGCUUGCUUUCAUCUUCAGGUUAUCCUGAAGUUGACAGUAGGCAGGAUGUGACUAAGGCAAUGCAGGCAGUCACACUUCAUAAUGGCAUUUUGAAGACAGAGAGCAGUGGUACCAGCCCUCAGGUGCCUUUGGAAUGGUAAUUCUGCUAAUCGGGUUUUGGAGCUAACACCUCGCUUGGACAAAGGUAGGAAGUCUCACUUUACUGAACUGGUUCAGGAUUUUCCUCCCAAGGAUUUCAGCCACCUGUAUUUGAAGUCAGGCUUCUUAUCCAGAAAGCCUGAAGUAGAGUUUGGAUUUUCUUGUUCUCCUGAAAGUAUAAAACCAAGUGUCCACGCCCGAGGAAAGGGAAACGGAUGGAUUCUUUAAAAACCUUCUAAUUUGAAAGCAAUCUGUGUACCUCCUGAAAUUGAAGGACAUUUUUAAUUGUGCUUUUCUGAGAACAGAGUCAUUUUCUCCCUAACUAUCAAAAAAAGUUCCUCUACCUAGAAAAAUUCCAACUACCUGCGCUAAUAAGAAAUACAUUAGUUUCCAGAAAUUAAUACAUCUUUAAGGUCCUUAAGAGCGAGAAAUCUUGUUAGGCUUUGCAGGUAAAAGGUUAAAUGCCACCUAAUCUUCAAAGGAGAUGAUUUAAAUAAUAUAUUUUUAUUUUCACAAUUACAGCUAUUAGCAAUUGCUUGUGGGCACUUCCACUUCAAAAUUUUCUUCUUAGUCAUUACAAUUAAGACUAUUAAAAUAUCAAAGGACAAUUAGAUUUCAGAUUUCCCCUCUAGUAGCACCUUCUGCUUUUAUUGAUUUGUCAUGUAAAAUAUAAACCCUUACUGACAGAAAAUGUUGGCUUUUAAACCGAGAAUAAGUAGUUCUGUCUUUUUCUAUAAUCUGGAUCAGAAAAAUGCAAAUGACAAACUUAUUAUUUAAGCUAUGUGAAAUAAUUUUGUCCCUCACUAAUCUGAAACAUCUAUAAGCUUGGGGAUUAUUCUUAAAAGUUAAAUAGUGCAAUAAUAUGAAAGCAAAGCUCUCACGUAUUCAGUGCUUUAAGGUAAAGUUUUAAAGUAUAAGGUUUUCUUUCUGCUUCUUUUUAAAAAAUAAAUAAUUCAUUCAGAUGGUUGUAUUUGGGGAUUUUAAUGUCAAUCAAAUUACAAUCAUUAGUCUCAGAUAAUUUAAAGUAUCCAUCUUUUAGGGUUUAGACGAAGUCAUAUACUUUUUUUAAAGCUAGUUUUCUCACCCAUGGAAAGGGAUUUUGAAAGACUAUUGUAAGAAUUUGUGUGGUGGCUCAGGGGGUUAAGAACUCAACACUGUCUCUCUGAUGGUGAGGGUUCAAUCCCUGGCCUUGCUCAGUGGGUUAAGGAUCCAGCUUUGCAGCAAGCUGUGGCAUAGGUCACAGAUGCGCCUUGGACCCUGCAUUGCUGCAGUGGUAGCUCCGAUUCGCCUGCUAGCCUGGGAACUUCCACAUGCUGCAGGUAUGGCCAUAAUAGAAAAAAAGUUGAUUAUAAAGCACCUGAUGAGGAAAAGAAUUUUUUGUCCCUUUCAUUUGGGUAAUCAUGAAAGCACAGCUCUAAUAAUGUUCAGAAUCUAAUUCGAAAUCAUCGACAAUUGAUACAUUAUCUUCAAAAGCUAUAAUGAGAUAUAAAAUCAUCCUCUUUCUACCAUAUCAGUGAAUCAAUAUAUAAGUAUUUGGAUCGCUCCCAACCUGUUCAUUCUCAUUUCUUGGGUGUCUGAUAGAGGCUUCAUGACCUCCUUCUACCCAUAAAUGAAAAACACAGCCAUACCUUCUUCAAAAUUUGGUCUGAAUUAACCCUAAAGUGUCAAGAGUUCAGCCUUGGAAUUAACAUUAAAAACAAGGAGUCCAAGUUCUAUGUGCUCCUGGAAACCUGCACAUCAUCCAAACUGCGAACUGGGAGAGUAAACGCCAGAGCAACGUCUUUCCAUUGUUGCACAACUCAGACUCUUACAAAAUGCUUCCUUUUGUGAAGCUGAGAUAUAGUCUGUUUGAAUCCCCACUGCAUACGAUCUGAGGCUCACUGAGACUAUGUUAAAUCUCACAUGUCUGUGCCAGCACUGUAAAAGGUUUCCAAUGUCUGUUAUGGUCUAUGAAUUUUUUACGUCAUUCUAAGCAUUUCUAUUUCCUAUAGUCAGGCUUCAUACGACAGGAUUUCUAUCAAUAUUCCUCUUCCCCCUGUUAGACCCCAUCUCAAUGUGAAACCGUUUGUCUGUCUUAGAGUAAAACACACAGAUCUGUACACUGCUACCCUUGGUUUUGCUUAAUACAAACUGGUAUUUUCCAAAGUGUAGUUCUAGACACUUGGGGACCCCAAGACGCUGUCAGGAGACCAGCAAGAU